UAGGCUAUGAUGUCGCAACUCAUUAUGUAAGUGUGGGGCGGAUGUCCAAUGCAGGUACUCCAUAGUGAAGGGAUACAGUGACUAGAUAAAUGGCUUGGGAAAGGAUUUUAAAAAGAGUUUGUAUGUUUUUUGUAGGAGUGGAAUGGGCAGAUUGGA